CCCCUCGGGCAGACCCGCCGCUGGCAGCCGUACCGGCUCCUCCGGGGCGGCCACUCACCGGUCAGGGAGGCCUUCGCGGUUAGGGAGAGUCCUCCGCCCCAGGCGCGAGCCUCCUGCUCAGUCCCCAGGUCCCUGUGCCACUGGGCCCAAGGCGCGGGUGGCCCCUGCCCGGGCUCUGGCCACCCUCGUGGCUCAGCCUCCACGUGCGGGGCUCAGGGCCCAGGGCGCCUCCCCCCGUCUGUGCUGCCAUCUUCCAACAACCCCAUGGACAGCAACGUCCGGGAGCCCCCGGCCAGGCGCUUCACCCCCAGGCCCACUCCCUGCGUCUGUCAGCAUGAGCUUGGGGAUGCCGUGGCUCACAGGCUCGGGAGCUGUGUCUGUGCUUUGGGGGCCUCUGGAGGAGGCGUCUAGCAAACGGGGAGUCUGGGUGAAACCAGAGCAGGGGUCACUGUCAACCCCCACGCCCCCGGAAGUGCCCCCAUGGCCGGCACCCGUUUGUCUCCGUGCACAGCCCCUUGUCUCAGUGUCCUGAGACCUGAAGACCCAGGGCAGGGCAGGUGGCCUCGCCCACACAGCUCCAGGACCCGGCACGCCCGCCGCCCACCCUCUGCUGCGCGGGCCUGGCGAGCCGCUCACGGACACAGGGAGAAAACGGCCAUGGCCGGGGGUGAGCAGUGGCUCUCCCAAAUGCACUGCGCUGUCUUCACCUGCCACAGAAAAAUCCCAAACCCAGUCCAGCGAAAAACCACGCAGUCACUCAGAGAGAAGGGGAACUCAGGUUUAUCACGCGCGGUCCCGGUCCCAGAGGAGCCAGCGCUCUGGAGAUCCGGGUCGCAUGCUCGGGGGCGACAUUCCUUAUAUACAAGGAUUUUACACAAGCUGAUUGGUCAGCUUGAACGCGAACUGUUACAAACGGGAGUUGCUAUGCAGAUCGCAAGUAGUAACACUGGAGAAGGGCGGGAGUUGCUAAGGGUAACCAAUGGAUACACAUCGUUACAGGAAGCGGAUCUGCCAAGAUACAAGGUACUCCAAGGGGCGGGGCUAGACGGGCACAAACAGUUACAGUUACAGGUGGAGCGAAGUGCAGGCAGCUCGCGCGUGAGCCCCGCACGCAGCAAGCACAUCUACAGAAGCAGAACGAGGAGCUGAUGAGCUUUUUGAUGUAAAUGCCUCAGAUUUCCUCUCUGUUCCUCCCUUCUGAUGCCCGUUUAGAUUCCUCAUAGGGCAUCAACCUCACGAUCUCCUUCGCGAUCUUCCAGUGCCAGGGACCAGCAACUCCAAUGGGCAAAGACCUUUGCUGUCGUUUUUCUUUCUACUGUAGCCUCCGUGAGGGAGGUGAUUGUCCCGACAACAAGAGGCCACAGGCCAGGCAGAGGGAGGCGGGCUUCCCGAAGGAGGAGCGCUACUCCAACGAAGGUCUUACAGCCUCCAAAGGCGGAGAACCAACCUCCAAAGAGGCUAUCGGGGUCUCGCCCGUGCCAGGCUUGCACGGCACAUGCUCCAGCUUUGGCAUCUGCUUGACAAGAUCUUCGACUGCCUGGUCCUGGUCCUCUAUCUGUACACAGCAGCUGGCGAGAUUGAAUUUCCCACAUACGCCUCCUUCUGCCGCUAAAUGAUAAUCUAGUGCCAACCUGCUCUGGUUGAUGGCGUUUCUCGUCUGGGUCUGUCGAUGUGCCAGGAGGGUCACCUUAGGAAUGAUCUCUAGACGGCCUGCAGCCGGAUAAUUAGGUUUAACAUGUAAAUGGGGGUACGGUAUCCCCAAGAUCCAUCUCUUGCCCAAGUGGCAGGCCCGUAGUAUUGGAUUCUGUGUUCUGGGGGCCACUCCUCACCCUCCCAGCCCCCCAUCUGGAGUUCUCUUUAUGCCCUGUGCAGGGGUCAUGGGACCAGGUGACCAAGCCGUUGCCCUGUUUUCAGAGGUAAGAGGAAGAAGGAUAGUUUUAUCCUGCCAGUAACACAGCUUCUUUCCCAAUUCGUGGGGAGGCAGAUAUAGGCCGUGCUCCCACAAAUCCAGGAGAGCCCACGCGGGGCCGUCCAGUCUCGGGCCUGCCUGCGCUAUGCCAGGCUUUAGUUAGCCCUGGGAAUCUGGCCAAUGGGUCUCUCUCUUUUCUGCUUCCCAGCCACACGCUUCGUCUGGAGGUGGCAUUAUCACAUCGCUGGCCUGAGCAAAUUAAGUUUCUGACUGAGUGUUUGAGGAUCCCUCCGCCUCUGGCCAGGCAGUAUUGUCCUAUAAUGGGAUGUUCCAAAAUCCAUUGACCAUCGUUUGAGGGUCCAAAUAUAAGGAGUCUCAUGAUGAAAUUUCUCAGGCUUCGGCCGUGUGUGAACCAGCCAGCUACUGGUUUGGGGCGUCCGGCACGGGGCCACAGUCCCGCUGCCGCCGGCAGCCCUGAGAUCUGCUCUCCUGCUGGGCUCGGACACUCACAGUCACCCUCCUCGUCAACUCCCCGUCGUCCAUCCGCGUCUGCAGGUCUGAGCUGGGCGUCUGAGACCAGCGUCUGAGACCAGUCGUCAAACAGCCCCGGCCAAGGGCAUGCCCCGCCCCUUCCCCAGCGGGACACGAUGCUCCCUGUCGCCCGGAGCUCUCCCUGUCCUGCACAGGACGGAUCCUCCUCCCCAUGCCGGCACCCGUGCUCCCCGGCCUGGCGCCCACCGUUCACCCCGGCGCAGGCCCGCACCCUCUCUGGACUCCCUCGGGCCCCCCGGGGAGGACUGAGUGAGGGGCUCUGGUCCUCUGAUCACCUCCCCGAGUUCUCCGCGUCCGUCUCCUUCGCUGGUUUUUCUUCUUAACGCCGCUCGGUCGCCUGCCCUUGAAUAGUCCUUGCACUGCGGAGCAGACCUGCUCCGCGGUCACGGCGACGAUCGGCGCCAUGUCUGUUCGUGGGGAGGGUCUCUUUGCCCGUUUUAGCCCGAGCGUUUGCAUCUGUGGGCGUGUGUGAAGUGGCGUCGUUUUCACGUGCUGGCUUUCUGGAGUUACGUUUUCGUGAA